GGGGAUUUAGCUCAGUUGGCCAGAGCGUUUGACUCGCAGUCAAAAGGUCGGGGGUUCGACUCCCCCCAUCUCCA
rnacentral:tRNA from 1 species